UACAGAGGUCCCGAGCGUUGUUCGGAUUCAUUGGGCGUAAAGGGUGCGUAGGCGGCUUUCUAAGUCUGAUGUGAAAUCCUGGGGCUCAACCCUGGAACUGCAUUGGAUACUGGGAGGCUAGAGUACUGGAGAGGAACUGGAAUUUACGGUGUAGCAGUGAAAUGCGUAGAGAUCGUAAGGAAGACCAGUGGCGAAGGCGAGUUUCUGGACAGUACUGACGCUGAGGCACGAAGGCCAGGGGAGCAAACGGG
rnacentral:rRNA from 1 species